GUUUUGUAUAGGUUCGUAAAAAGUUUUCUCCCGUAUAUUUAACCGUGAAUAAGUGAUUUCGAUCAAAAUCUGGAAAUAGCCGGUAAUUUCAGUCGAUCUUUCAAUAAGAAGAAAGGUGUGCAGUGAAUUAAUAGCUCUAACAAUAAUAAUAAAAUGCUAUUGCAUCACUUAUCUCUCUGCCAGUAAUAUAAAAAAAAAAAAAAAAAAAAAAACAGAAUUUGAUCGCCUUUAUUAUCUCUGGAGAUAUUGCAAUAGGUAAAUUCUCGUGAGAAAAUGUUUGUAUCACGAACUAACGUUUUGCCUACGGUCUUGUGGUGUACGGCUAUAACGCGGCGAGUGAAAAAGGUUUUAGUCAACCAGUGGCGCACACUGAGUGGGAGAUAGAAGGUCAGCUCUCUUUUACUGCAUAUUUUCAAACGAAGUUUUACAUUCAACAACAUACUGUGGCAUGUUUCCGAUCCGCUUUGGAACCGGACGUGUCGGACCGAAAUAUGCGAUUCUAAAACGAAAUAAUAAAAUCUCUGGGCAUCGUCCAACAAUUUAACUAUAACAAUUGCGGUCUUGAAUCGGAAUCGUUUUGAAAAGACGGCCAAAAAAAAAAAAAAAACGGCGUAGUUGACUGAUUUUUGAUUAUGUUUACGCUGUCGGAGCGAAAACCAUUUUAUCGAUUCGUCGUCCCGUCGUUUGCGAGAAAGAAAUAAACACCGGCGGGUGAAGAUGGUGG